rnacentral:rRNA from 1 species
CAUGCAAGUCGAGCGAACAGAUGAAGUGCUUGCACCUCUGACGUUAGCGGCGAACGGGUGAGUAACACGUAAGGAAUCUACCUAUAAGCGGGGGAUAACAUUCGGAAACGGGUGCUAAUACCGCAUAAUAUCUUCUUCCGCAUGGAAGAAGAUUGAAAGACGGCUCUGCUGUCACUUAUAGAUGACCUUGCGGUGCAUUAGUUAGUUGGUGGGGUAACGGCCUACCAAGACGAUGAUGCAUAGCCGACCUGAGAGGGUGAUCGGCCACAUUGGGACUGAGACACGGCCCAAACUCCUACGGGAGGCAGCAGUAGGGAAUCUUCCGCAAUGGGCGAAAGCCUGACGGAGCAAUGCCGCGUGAGUGAAGAAGGCCUUCGGGUCGUAAAACUCUGUUAUAAGAGAAGAACAAAUUGUAGAGUAACUGCUACAGUCUUGACGGUAUCUUAUCAGAAAGCCACGGCUAACUACGUGCCAGCAGCCGCGGUAAUACGUAGGUGGCAAGCGUUGUCCGGAUUUAUUGGGCGUAAAGGGAGCGCAGGUGGUUUCUUAAGUCUGAUGUGAAAGCCCACGGCUUAACCGUGGAGGGUCAUUGGAAACUGGGAAACUUGAGUACAGAAGAGGAAUGUGGAACUCCAUGUGUAGCGGUGGAAUGCGUAGAUAUAUGGAAGAACACCAGUGGCGAAGGCGACAUUCUGGUCUGUUACUGACACUGAGGCUCGAAAGCGUGGGGAGCAAACAGGAUUAGAUACCCUGGUAGUCC